UGGGGAAUAUUGGACAAUGGGGGAAACCCUGAUCCAGCAAUGCCGCGUGAGUGAAGAAGGCCUUAGGGUUGUAAAGCUCUUUCGCCCGCGAAGAUAAUGACGGUAGCGGGAGAAGAAGCCCCGGCUAACUCCGUGCCAGCAGCCGCGGUAAUACGGAGGGGGCUAGCGUUGUUCGGAAUUACUGGGCGUAAAGCGUACGUAGGCGGAUGCGCAAGUUGGGGGUGAAAUCCCGGGGCUUAACCUCGGAAUUGCCCUCAAAACUGCACGUCUUGAGACCGAGAGAGGUAAGGGGAAUUCCUAGUGUAGAGGUGAAAUUCGUAGAUAUUAGGAAGAACACCAGUGGCGAAGGCGCCUUACUGGCUCGGUACUGACGCUGGGGUACGAAAGCGUGGGGAGCAAACA
rnacentral:rRNA from 1 species